rnacentral:rRNA from 1 species
UUUGAAAUUGGCAUGGUCGGAAGAUGAUCCAGCCUGCCGCGUGCAGGAUGACGGCCUUAUGGGUUGUAAACUGCUUUUGUAUGGGAAGAAUAAGGUCUACGUGUAGAUUGAUGACGGUACCAUACGAAUAAGCAUCGGCUAACUCCGUGCCAGCAGCCGCGGUAAUACGGAGGAUGCGAGCGUUAUCCGGAAUCAUUGGGUUUAAAGGGUCCGCGAGGCGGGCUUAUAAGUCAGAGGUGAAAGCACUUGAGCUCAACUUGAGUAACUUGCCUUUGAAACUUGUAGGUCUUGAAUGUUUGUGAAGUAGCUUGGAAUGUGUAGUGUAGCCGGUGAAAUGCAUAGAUAUUACACAGAACACCGAU